GGAGGAGCGUCUAAACGAGGAGCAAUUAGACGCUAGACGCUUCGGCCUAUGGUUUCAACAGCUGAUGGAGUGUGAUUCGGGGUACUCGUCAGUUGACUCGUCAGCUGACUCGUUAUUGGCGUACCGCGAUUAGUACCAGAUAUGCAAACGGGCGGGGGAAGAACGCGCAAUACACAGGGGAAUGAGACUUUCGGGGAUGUGCAACCCCCGGGAGGGCGGAUCAUCAUCACACACGAUACAGCCCGUUAUUUCAAACGUUUUCAACUACGUGGUCGGGAGAUAACAUUGCGUAUCCGCCAACCUCACGCUGGUACAAACGUGACAGCAUGGCUUGAAGGAGCAUUCCGCGAUCUUCUGACGCAUCUCACGAGUCACUGUGAGGGUGGUGACUACGCGGGGAUCUCGUUCUCCGCGAGCAGCAUAGCGCACGGCCCCGUUUGGCUUUCAUUGCGUCCUGUCCGCGUCUAUACAUUUGUAGAUAUCUGGCAAUUAAUAACAAACA
rnacentral:lncRNA from 1 species